rnacentral:rRNA from 1 species
CCUACGGGCGGCAGCAGUCGAGAAUCAUUCACAAUGGGGGAAACCCUGAUGGUGCGACGCCGCGUGGGGGAAUGAAGGUCUUCGGAUUGUAAACCCCUGUCAUGUGGGAGCAAAUUAAAAAGAUAGUACCACAAGAGGAAGAGACGGCUAACUCUGUGCCAGCAGCCGCGGUAAUACAGAGGUCUCAAGCGUUGUUCGGAAUCACUGGGCGUAAGGCGUGCGUAGGCUGUUUCGUAAGUCGUGUGUGAAAGGCGCGGGCUCAACCCGCGGACGGCACAUGAUACUGCGAGACUAGAGUAAUGGAGGGGGAACCGGAAUUCUCGGUGUAGCAGUGAGAUGCGUAGAUAUCGAGAGGAACACUCGUGGCGAAGGCGGGUUCCUGGACAUUAACUGACGCUGAGGCACGAAGGCCAGGGGAGCGAAAGGGAUUAGAUACCCUUGUAGUC